rnacentral:rRNA from 1 species
AUACGGAGGAUGCGAGCGUUAUCCGGAUUUAUUGGGUUUAAAGGGAGCGUAGGUGGGAUAUUAAGUCAGCUGUGAAAGUUUGGGGCUCAACCUUAAAAUUGCAGUUGAUACUGGUUUCCUUGAGUACGGUAUAGGUUGGCGGAAUUCGUUGUGUAGCGGUGAAAUGCAUAGAUAUGACGAAGAACACCGAUUGCGUAGGCAGCUGACCAGACCGCAAAUGACGCUCAUGCACGAAAGUGCGGGGAUCAAACAGGAUUAGAUACCCUGGUAGUCCGCACAGUAAACGAUGAAUACUUGUUUUCGGCGAUAUAAUGUCGGAGGCAAAGCGAAAGCGAUAAGUAUUCCACCUGGGGAGUACGCCGGCAACGGUGAAACUCAAAUGAAUUGACGGGG